UGAUGGCUUCACAAUUUCACUAGAUUU
rnacentral:piRNA from 1 species